UGCUGUUGAAAUGUGUCGUAGAGAAAAGCAUCAGAAAAGUAUGAGAUGGUGGCUUUUUGUGGUGGUCUUAUUGGGUGCUACGAGGGUAUGAAUGAUGAUUCCCACUUCCUCUAGCACUAGUUGUUGAUUUCUUUACAUCCACUUCUCUUCUUUUCACAAACAUUAACUUCGCAAUGAACUGCAAAAAGUAAAGAUAAGAUUAAAAAGAAAAAAGAAAACUGGGUAGUAAGGAAUAAUUACUGGAAUAAUUAGGGUGCAGGCAGACCCAGAAAGGCACAUUCAUAGUAGUGUUAGUGUAGUAAAAGAAGAAAAACGAAUUAAAAAACUGGCAGGAAUAAGGAAUUGAGAGAUAAUUUGGUGAGUGGGAGAGGGCAUGCCUUGUUUCUUAAAAGUUUCUGAGAGAGAACCAGAUUCC
rnacentral:lncRNA from 1 species